rnacentral:rRNA from 1 species
UAGGGAAUCUUCCACAAUGGACGCAAGUCUGAUGGAGCAACGCCGCGUGAGUGAAGAAGGCUUUCGGGUCGUAAAACUCUGUUAUUGAAGAAGAACGUGCGUGACAGUAACUGGUCAUGCAGUGACGGUAUUCAAUCAGAAAGUCACGGCUAACUACGUGCCAGCAGCCGCGGUAAUACGUAGGUGGCAAGCGUUGUCCGGAUUUAUUGGGCGUAAAGCGAGUGCAGGCGGUCUUUUAAGUCUGAUGUGAAAGCCUUCGGCUUAACCGAAGAAGGGCAUCGGAAACUGGGAGACUUGAGUGCAGAAGAGGAGAGUGGAACUCCAUGUGUAGCGGUGAAAUGCGUAGAUAUAUGGAAGAACACCAGUGGCGAAGGCGGCUCUCUGGUCUGUAACUGACGCUGAGGCUCGAAAGCGUGGGUAGCAAACAGGAUUAGAUACCCUGGUAGUCCACGCCGUAAACGAUGAAUA